rnacentral:rRNA from 1 species
CCUACGGGAGGCAGCAGUGGGGAAUUUUGGACAAUGGGCGCAAGCCUGAUCCAGCAAUGCCGCGUGAGUGAAGAAGGCCUUCGGGUUGUAAAGCUCUUUUGUCAGGGAAGAAACGGGUCUUUCUAAUACAGAGAUCCAAUGACGGUACCUGAAGAAUAAGCACCGGCUAACUACGUGCCAGCAGCCGCGGUAAUACGUAGGGUGCAAGCGUUAAUCGGAAUUACUGGGCGUAAAGCGUGCGCAGGCGGUUUUGUAAGUUUGUCGUGAAAUCCCCGGGCUCAACCUGGGAAUGGCGAUGAAGACUGCAAGGCUAGAGUUUGGCAGAGGGGGGUAGAAUUCCACGUGUAGCAGUGAAAUGCGUAGAUAUGUGGAGGAACACCGAUGGCGAAGGCAGCCCCCUGGGUCAAAACUGACGCUCAUGCACGAAAGCGUGGGGAGCAAACAGGAUUAGAUACCCUGGUAGUCCACGCCCUAAACGAUGUCUACUAGUUGUCGGGUCUUAAUUGACUUGGUAACGCAGCUAACGCGUGAAGUAGACCGCCUGGGGAGUACGGUCGCAAGAUUAAAACUUAAGGAAUUGACGG